GGGGAUGUAGCUCAGUUGGCUAGAGCGCUUGACUGGCAGUCAAGAGGUCGUCGGUUCGAAUCCGAUCUUCUCCACCU
rnacentral:tRNA from 1 species